UAUAACGAAUUUAAUUGUAUUUAAUAUAAUUUAAGUAAAAGAAAUUGUAAAGCUAUGUGUAUUUCAGUAACACAUAUUUAUGAUAUAAUACAUUUCAGUAAUAUUUUGUAAAUUAGAACAAGAAAUUCUAUUGCCAAAAUAUCGUCUUCAGACGAAUUAUAAAUUACAAUUAAUUAGUUGUAGAGCUUAUUUUGUUCUCAAUGAAUUUCUAAUUACACGUAACUAGAUUAUAUGCAUACACGUGGAAUCACUCCUAACCUGAACCUAAUAGAAACCUUAAAUCAUUGCAAAGCAACUUUUAGCAAGCGGUACAAAAUUUAAACAAAAGAUUUUUAAAGAUUGUCCACAUAUAUAAUUAAUAUGAAAAGAGAUCCGACGUCCUUAAACCUGCUCCUGUUAUAUCGAACAGUAUCAAAAUCUCCUUUUUGUUGUGGAGGACCAAAGAUUGUAAGAGAGUCAUCGAUACAAAAUGUCUAAUACGCCGUUGUGCUUUCUUUCAGUUUGGUAAUCAAACAUAUACAAGCAAUUAACACGCAAGCAGUUUACUUUCUACGUGUUAUUACUGAGAUGAGAAGACUGCUCAAUUGCGGUCAGGCAAAAACAUAAAAUUACAUUCGGUCCCGGAAUCCCCGGAAUUGCAGUAAAUGCACUCGAAAAACUCGACGGCGUGUAUGCAGAUAGAAGUCGCCGUCGCGAUCGAGAAAGUGAAAGCCAAUAAGAGGAGGCAAGUGAAAAGAGAUAUGGACUUGCGUCGUGCUAAUGUAACUGCGUAAUUAAGCGGAUUUUGUUAUCCGUCCAGCCUCGCGACACCGAUGAGAGGAAUUUCUCAAUGUGUUUCGCGUCCGGCUGUCCUCAAACCCAUUUAUCUACAAUGUUAUACGUCCAUGUGCAGAUCAACUUUGAUCUCGAUUUGCGUCUUCUUCCAGCUUGUAUCUUUUACGUAUAUUAAAAAGAACAAGCUCUUAAAUCGAUAUCAUGUUUAUCUAUUUAUGUUGAUAACGAACGUCAAGAGAGUGCGAAUCUAUUCUACGCAGAGUUUACGUUCUGCUCGGUCCCUCUCUUUCCUCUCCUUCCGACAAACGGAGGAAAGGAGGAUAGCUAUACUGUCUGCAAGCACGAAAUCUUGAAAAAGUCUUACGGUCGCACUUUUAUAUCUCCUCUGAACUGAACGAAUCAAAUUAUUUGAUCAAUUUAUCAGCAAGAAAUAAAUGACAUAUUUCUCUCUCUCUCUCUCUCUCUCUCUCUCUCUCUCUCCACUUCGAAGCGUGCUUCGCAAUAGCCGUCCCAUCAGACGGAUCACAGUGCACGUUUAGUUAGAUAUAUCACGUAGUAGCGAAUUACGAAUGUUAACUGCAAGGUCAGUUUUUUAAACACGUCCGGCGGUAUAUUCGCGCGUACGUACGUCAUGCAUCUAAUCUGCAGCAAUCGUAGAGGCACGAUUGUACUAUUUACAAUCGAAAAGGAAAUUAAACCACGAGUUGACAGAAGGCGAGAGUGCUGAUUAAAGCAAAGCAAAGUUUAGCAAGGCAAAUCUCUGUUUCCCGAGGCCUAAAUAUUUCGGCAGACAGUCAAUAGUCAUGGCAAGCGAACCUGAACGGAUGACUAAACCCGAUAGAGAAAUAGCGGAUACUACAGUAAGCGUUCUUUAUGUUUACAUGCUGUUUAUGUACUUACGGGGAGACACGAAAUUAUCAUUUCACCGAUAAUGUACUAUCUCCCAUUCAUUGAGCAUUGAUAUUGAUAUUGAACCCCCCAACCUCUGUAUGUUAUUCUUUAUUUACUUCAAUUUAAAAAGCUUUCUACAAUGAUAGCAAUUAAUCUUAAUAUUUGAAAACGACUCCAGCUAUCAACUCCAGCUUAUACAACUGAAUAAUAACUAAACAUGCCAUUAGCAUGCAGUUAGCAUGACAAAAUAAGAAAUAAAAUUAUUUGACUGGAAUACAUGAUUUACUUUCAUGAAGUAAGGAAGUAGAUGAAUAUCUAAUCAGUAAAUACGUACAGUUAAAACUUGUUAUCGAGAAGAUUGCAUCAAAGUAAAAAAAAAAGUUGUUCAACAAAAUUCCGAGCAAAAUUCCUACUAGUGACCUUUCGAUAGUAGAACAUUAUUUCACAUGCGAUAAAUACUGCGCUUAAUAGCAGGGCUUAAUGAAUGACGAAACGCAGAACGAAGAAAACAUCGAGAUCGAGACGACGUCGGUAAAUUUGAAGCAGCAGAACAGAAAAUCGACUUCGGAACAGGAAAAUAAAAAACUACUAAAGGCCUGCGACGAGGAUCCUUAUAUCGUGAAGCUAUUUAAAAGUCUAAUGAAGCCUCCAGAAAAUCAGGAAAGUAGGGAGGAGAAAAAAAAGUAACGUGCAAAGCAUGUUAAAACUUCUAUAAAAUUUUCAAUAAAAACUAGACAAGCAAAAAAGCA